rnacentral:rRNA from 1 species
UACGUAGGGUGCGAGCGUUGUCCGGAAUUACUGGGCGUAAAGAGCUCGUAGGUGGUUUGUCGCGUUGUUCGUGAAAACCGGGGGCUUAACCCUCGGCGUGCGGGCGAUACGGGCAGACUGGAGUACUGCAGGGGAGACUGGAAUUCCUGGUGUAGCGGUGGAAUGCGCAGAUAUCAGGAGGAACACCGGUGGCGAAGGCGGGUCUCUGGGCAAUAACUGACGCUGAGGAGCGAAAGCGUGGGGAGCGAACAGG